GUCCUGAGACAGAGAGUUGAAGUCCUGGUCCUGCUGCCCAGGAUUAUCUGCCCUUCUCCCCUGCGCCCUUCCUGGCACAGCCCUAACCCUAGCCACGGCCCCGCCAAGCAGGGAGCAGGCUAGAGCUGUGUCCCUGGCACCGGGCGUUGGAACACAAAGUUCCCUUUCUCGCUUUCAGAAUCAGGGUCGAAGAGUUACUGGCAAGAGCAGAACAAUACACCCCAAGCAUCAGACCGGCAACAUUCUGGAUUAGACAGACUCUCAUGGACUGCCCUGAGGACCCAAUGACCGAAGGCUAUACACAAGUAAUAUGAAAGCAUGUCACAGGCACAGGUGGGAAGAUAUGGCUGGAACCUCCUUCACCAAGCAGCACUAAUGUAAGAAACUUCUUCACGGAUACGUGAAACAAAUGCCUUUCUUCUUGGCCCUCACUGCUAAAGGAAUGUGGCCAUAGGAACUAUAAUAGCCAUCUGGCCCAGUCUCCUGCCAGAUCUGCCUUAAAGCCAGUCCAUGCGAACUAUAACAACCUUUCUGGGAAGGAGAUUUCAUGGAGUCUGAGUAAAACUGUUUGAAAUGAUUAUCAGCCCAUACUUAAAGAAAAUAUACUUUCUGCAAUUUUCAGAAGAGAAAAAUCAUGGAAAGGAGAUGUCAUACUCCAAGCAGAUUCAGCUAAGGAGGUUUUAAUUCACCUGCAGCUCUGUUCUUAAGUUUGGAUCACCAACUGGUCACUCUAAAGCCCUCUCUUCUCGUAUCCCAGAGCCCAGUGCUUUUUUUUUUUUUUUUUUUU